AUGGACUCCGGAACCGGCGAAGCAGCGUGGCGCUCGCGCGCGGUGUGCGGCACGGAGUACAGCUGGUGCCGCGCCGCGCCGGGCGGAACCGGCGCCACGCUCAUCGCGCUCCGACUCUCGCGCGGCGGCGCGGCGGCCGAAGCCGCGGUCCGCGCCCUCCAGAGCGCUCACCCCGUCCUCCGAGCCCACCUCCGCGGCCCCGCCUCCAGCCCCACGCUCGCCUUCCCCUCCUCCGCGCCGCAGCUCCGCCUCGCGCCCCAGCCAUGCGCGCUCGACUUCCACUCCCUCCUCGAGCGCGAGAUCAACCGCAACCCGUGGGCGGCCGCCGCGCCCGGGCCCGACGGUGCCCCGGUGCUCUUCGCGGCGCUCUACGAGCUCCCGCCGCCCGCGGGCGGGGCGGCGCUGUUCGUCCUGAUCCACACGGCCGUGUGCGACCGCGCGGCGUCCGAGGCGCUGCCGAGGGAGCUCCUCGCGCUGCUGGGCGGCGCGGGUGUGGGCGGCCCGGAGGUGAAGGAGGAGACGGCGGCGGUGGAGGCGGGGUUGGAGAAGAGGAUGCGGAAGAAGGACUCGCGGAAGCCGUUGUGGGCGCGCGGCGUGGACAUGGUGGGCUAUUCCAUCGACGGGCUCCGCGCGUCCACGCUGCCGUUCGAGGAGACCGGCACGGCCAGGUCGACGCAGAUGGUGCGCCUCCGGUUCAGCCGCGAGGACACGACGCGGCUGCUCCAUGCAUGCAAGGAGAACGGAGUGGGCCUUUGCUCAGCCAUGGCUGCGGCGACGAUGCUAGCUGCACGGCAAUCGAAGAAGCUGUCCAACAGCGGCCAGCAAGAAACGUACUCCGUUGCAACCCUAAUCAAUUGCUGCGAGUUUCUUGAGCCACCUUUGAAUGAUCUUACUACUCGGUUCUUCUACUCUGCUAUCACCAACACGCACAAGAUCAAUGGAGAGGAAGGGCUAUGGGUGCUGGCCAGGAGGUGCCAUGAUGCCUAUAGCAACGCGAAGAAGAACAAGAAGCACCUCACCGACAUCCGUGACCUCAACUUCCUCAUGUGCCGGGCCAUCGAGAACCCCCGGCUGACUACGGCCUCCGCACUCCGGACAGCGCUCGUGUCCGUGUUCGAGGAGUUGGCAACCUUGGACGUGUCUGAUAUGCAGAGCAAGGCUGGUGUGAAGGACUAUAUCUGCUGCGCCACCAUGCACGACAUCGGCCCGUCGAUCGGCGUGUUCGACUCUAUCAAGGAUGGCGAGUUGGAUUGGGCAUGCAUGCACCCUUCUCCUCUGCAUUCCAGGAAGCAGAUACAGGAGGUGCUUGACAAGGUGAAGAUGAUUUUACACGAAGGGAGCAACCCAAGUGAUGACAAGAAUGAAAACUGCACGUAG
rnacentral:rRNA from 1 species